rnacentral:tRNA from 3 species
GGUGCUGUGGCCGAGUGGCUGAGGCACAGCUCUGCAAAAGCUGGUACACCGGUUCGAUUCCGGUCAGCACCU